rnacentral:rRNA from 1 species
GACGAACGCUGGCGGCGUGCUUAACACAUGCAAGUCGAACGGAAAGGCCCGGCUUUUGUGGGUUUCUCGAUUGGCGAACGGGUGAGUAACACAUGAGUAACCUGCCCUUGACUUUGUGAUAACUUCAGGAAACUGGGGCUAAUACCGGAUAGGAGCUCCUGCUGCAUGGUGUUGAUUGGAAAGUUUCGGCUGUGGGGGAUGGACUCGCUGGUUAUCAGCUUGUUGGUGGGGUAGUGGCUUACCAAGGCUUUGACGGGUAGCCGGCAUGAGAGGGUGACCCGCCACAUUGGGACUGAGAUACGGCCCAGAAUCCUACGGGCGGCAGUAGUGGGGAACAUUGCACAAUGGGCGGACGCCUGAUGCAGCAACGCCGAGUGCGGGAUGCCGGCCUUCGGGUUGUAAACAGAUUUCGACUGUGCUGAAGAGUGAGUGACGGUAAUGGGUCAAGAAGCAACGGCUAACUACGUG